rnacentral:rRNA from 1 species
GUAGGGAAUCUUCCGCAAUGGGCGAAAGCCUGACGGAGCAACGCCGCGUGAGUGAUGAAGGUCUUCGGAUCGUAAAACUCUGUUAUUAGGGAAGAACAAAUGUGUAAGUAACUAUGCACGUCUUGACGGUACCUAAUCAGAAAGCCACGGCUAACUACGUGCCAGCAGCCGCGGUAAUACGUAGGUGGCAAGCGUUAUCCGGAAUUAUUGGGCGUAAAGCGCGCGUAGGCGGUUUCUUAAGUCUGAUGUGAAAGCCCACGGCUCAACCGUGGAGGGUCAUUGGAAACUGGGAAACUUGAGUGCAGAAGAGGAAAGUGGAAUUCCAUGUGUAGCGGUGAAAUGCGCAGAGAUAUGGAGGAACACCAGUGGCGAAGGCGACUUUCUGGUCUGUAACUGACGCUGAUGUGCGAAAGCGUGGGGAUCAA